ACAUUGAAGGAGAGAGUAAAGAAGAAGAAGAAAACACACUUUGAAGCUUUUUAAUAAUAUAAUCUCAGAAUCUUGAAAGAACUUCAAAAAAAUGAGUACAGCUACUUUUGUUGAUAUUAUUAUCGCUGUCCUCUUGCCUCCUCUUGGAGUCUUUCUCAGAUUUGGUUGCGGGGUUGAGUUUUGGAUAUGUUUGGUUUUGACGCUGCUUGGAUAUAUUCCUGGGAUCAUAUACGCUAUUUAUGUCCUCACCAAAUGAUUUACCAACCAUCCCUCUCCUUGAACAGCUGUUUCGUCAUGUUCUCCGACUCUUUGUUAUGACUGAUGAUUCAUCGUUUCUUUCUUUCAUCAGAGUUUUUAUGUUUUAACUAAGUCAGUGUUGUUGUGUUUGCAUCGUUAUAUAAUGUUGUGUUGAAUUUAAUAUUAUAAAACAUGAGAUCGUAGGUUUGUUGUGAAGAAUUUGCUAAUUCGAGUUU